UACGGGGGGAGCAAGCGUUGUUCGGAUUUACUGGGCGUAAAGGGCGCGUAGGCGGUCAGCACAAGUCAGUUGUGAAAUCUCCGGGCUUAACCCGGAAAGGUCAACUGAUACUGUGCGACUAGAGUGCGGAAGGGGCAACUGGAAUUCUCGGUGUAGCGGUGAAAUGCGUAGAUAUCGAGAGGAACACCUGCGGCGAAGGCGGUUCUCUGGGCAUGUCCUGACGCUGGGGAGCGAAAGUGUGGGGAGCGAACAGG
rnacentral:rRNA from 1 species